AUUUUUAAAAAAGUAUCCCCACUUUUCCCACUGACGGUCCAGUGCUUCAAAUCAUCCUACUGGCGUAGAAUCUAAUCGAGUUCAGUGCAUGGAGAGUGUACCGUAUCCCGAUCUUGCAGCAGGACAGGCACGUUCUGAGAGCAGGACAAGGCAGUAAAACAACGCCCCCUAUUGACGUGCGCGCAGUUAAAAAGUGACAACUCACUGAUGCAGUUUUCUGAUGCAUUCUUCAAACAAAAGAAAGGCUCUUCAGCUGAAGGAAGAUGGAUGAAUGUUGAACAUCUAGGAG